UACGUAGGGUGCGAGCGUUGUCCGGAAUUACUGGGCGUAAAGAGCUCGUAGGUGGUUUGUCGCGUUGUCCGUGAAAACUCACAACUCAAUUGUGGGCGUGCGGGCGAUACGGGCAGACUGGAGUACUGCAGGGGAGACUGGAAUUCCUGGUGUAGCGGUGGAAUGCGCAGAUAUCAGGAGGAACACCGGUGGCGAAGGCGGGUCUCUGGUCCGUUACUGACACUGAGGCGCGAAAGCGUGGGGAGCAAACAGG
rnacentral:rRNA from 1 species